rnacentral:rRNA from 1 species
CUUGGUCAUUUAGAGGAAGUAAAAGUCGUAACAAGGUUUCCGUAGGUGAACCUGCGGAAGGAUCAUUAACAAGAAGCAUACAAUGUUUCAAACUAAAAAAUCCGUGAACUACAGGAUGAGGACUAUGGAUCUAUCUGGAACAUUGUGUUGGUAGAUUUAUAUAGGUUGAGCCAUCCUAUUUGUAGCCUUUUUUUUAAUGAGCAUGUUUUUUUUUGUACAAUAUGCGUAGAUUAUCAACUCUAUUUGCAGCUUAUUCAAGUAGUACCUUUUUGGUACUUAUUUUUUAUGAAAACAUUGAACAACUCUUAGCAACGGAUAUCUUGGUUCUCGUAGCGAUGAAGAACGCAGCGAAAUGCGAUACGUAAUGCGAAUUGCAGAAUUCAGUGAAUCAUCAAAUCUUUGAACGCAAAUUGCGCUGCUGGGAAUACCUGGUAGCACGCCUCUUUGAGUAUCGGCAAAAAUAAUAUCGACAGCGUCAGUAGUUUGUCGAAUAUUGAGUACCAUAAUAUAAAUAGUUAUUGUGGGACUUCAAAAACUUCUAAUACACAAAACGUGAUAUAGAUAUUGUUUAAUUGUCUUUAUUUGACGAUUUUCUUUUUUCUAUCUUUGCGUGUUAUGUAUUUUCUAUUUUGUUGGGAGCUAAAUUUUAUUUUUUAGCUAGAACCAUUUAAUUAAGAUCUCAAAUGAAGCGAGAUUACCCGCCGAAUUUAAGCAUAUUAGUAAGCGGAGGAAAAGAAACUAACAAGGAUGCCCUUAGUAACGGCGAGUGAAGCGGGCAAAGCUCAAUUUGUUAAUCGGAGUACUAUUAGUAUUUCGAGUUGUAGUGUCGAGAUAUGUGGACCGUAGUGACCCGGAUAUAAAUCUUUUUGGAAUAAGGUAUCAUAGAGGGUGAGAAUCCCGUCUUUGAUCCGAAGUUCACUAUUUACGUCCCGUGUUCAAAGAGUCGAGUUGAUUGGUAUCUCAGCUCUAAAUGGGAGGUAAGUUUCUUCUAAAGCUAAAUAAUGACGAGAGACCGAUAGCAAACAAGUACCGUGAGGGAAAGAUGAAAAGAACUUUGAAAAGAGAGUAAAAUAGUACUUGAAAUUGUUAAGAGCGAAACACUGAAUACCAGUCUAAUUUCUACAAAUAUGAUAGUCAAGGGCUAAAGUUUUUAAGCAAGUGAGUUUAAAUCCACUUAACUUGGGAAAUGUAGCAUCUUAGUUAUCUACUAUUUGUUGAAAUAUGUCAUGAUCAAUUGAAUUUGCAGGAGAAAACUUAAUGAUGGUAGUAUGAGGCAUACGUGCUUUAUAUGCAUUAUUGGGCUAUACUGUGGGUUUGAUUGAGGUUUUACAGAUAAAACGCGCUAAUACUGAGGUAUGGUAGUCGUACCCGUCCCCAUGAAGUACCUAAUGGUAUGGAUUUGGAACGGAGUUAUGAACUGCGUUUUCGCGAUUUUGACUAAAUGAUAUUCAUUGACCCGUCUUGAAACACGGACC